rnacentral:rRNA from 1 species
GAGUUUGAUCAUGGCUCAGAUUGAACGCUGGCGGCAGGCCUAACACAUGCAAGUCGAGCGGCAGCGGGAAAGUAGCUUGCUACUUUUGCCGGCGAGCGGCGGACGGGUGAGUAAUGCCUGGGAAAUUGCCCAGUCGAGGGGGAUAACAGUUGGAAACGACUGCUAAUACCGCAUACGCCCUACGGGGGAAAGCAGGGGACCUUCGGGCCUUGCGCGAUUGGAUAUGCCCAGGUGGGAUUAGCUAGUUGGUGAGGUAAUGGCUCACCAAGGCGACGAUCCCUAGCUGGUCUGAGAGGAUGAUCAGCCACACUGGAACUGAGACACGGUCCAGACUCCUACGGGAGGCAGCAGUGGGGAAUAUUGCACAAUGGGGGAAACCCUGAUGCAGCCAUGCCGCGUGUGUGAAGAAGGCCUUCGGGUUGUAAAGCACUUUCAGCGAGGAGGAAAGGUUGAUGCCUAAUACGUAUCAACUGUGACGUUACUCGCAGAAGAAGCACCGGCUAACUCCGUGCCAGCAGCCGCGGUAAUAC